GACGAACGCUGGCGGCAUGCUUAACACAUGCAAGUCGAACGGAAAGGCCCUGCUUUUGUGGGGUGCUCGAGUGGCGAACGGGUGAGUAACACGUGAGUAUCCUGCCCUUGACUUUGGGAUAACUUCAGGAAACUGGGGAUAAUACCGGAUAGGAGCUCCUGCUGCAUGGUGGGGGUUGGAAAGCUCCUGCGGUUGGGGAUGGACUGCCGGUUUAUCAGCUUGUUGGUGGGGUAGUGGCUUACCAAGGCUUUGGCGGGUAGUCGGCCUGAGAGGGUGACCGGGCACAUUGGGACUGAGAGACGGCCCAGACUGCUACGGGAGGCAGCAGGCGGGAGUAUUGCACAAUGGGCGGGAGUCUGAUGCAGCAACGCCGCGUGCGGGAUGACGGCCUUCGGGUUGUAAACCGCUUUCGCCUGUGACGAAGCUUGAGUGACGGUAAUGGGUAAAUAAGCACCGGCUAACUACGUG
rnacentral:rRNA from 1 species